UACGGGGGGGGCAAGCGUUGUUCGGAAUUACUGGGCGUAAAGGGUGCGUAGGCGGUGCUCUAAGUCGGAUGUGAAAACUCUGGGCUCAACCCAGAGCCUGCAUCCGAAACUGGAGUGCUAGAGUUCUGGAGGGGGUAGCGGAAUUCCUGGUGUAGCGGCGAAAUGCGUAGAUAUCAGGAGGAACACCGGUGGCGAAGGCGGCUACCUGGACCGGCAUUGACGCUGAGGAGCGAAAGCCAGGGGAGCAAACGGG
rnacentral:rRNA from 1 species